rnacentral:rRNA from 1 species
AUUCCCUAGUACGGCGAGUGAACCGGGAAGAGCUCAAAUUUGAAAUCUGGCGUGCUCAGUGCGUCCGAGUUGUAAUCUAUAGAGUCGUUUUCCGUGCCGGACUGUGUCCAAGUCCCUUGGAACAGGGUAUCAAAGAGGGUGAUAAUCCCGUACUUGACACAAUGACCGGUGCUCUGUGAUACGUCUUCUACGAGUCGAGUUGUUUGGGAAUGCAGCUCAAAAUGGGUGGUGAGUUCCAUCUAAAGCUAAAUAUUGGCGAGAGACCGAUAGCGAACAAGUACCGUGAGGGAAAGAUGAAAAGCACUUUGGAAAGAGAGUUAAACAGUACGUGAAAUUGUUAAAAGGGAAACGAUUGAAGUCAGUCGUGACUGAGAGGCUCAGCCGGUUCUGCCGGUGUAUUCCCCUCAGUCGGGUCAACAUCAGUUUUGUUCGGUGGAUAAGGGCAGUUGGAAGGUGGCACCCUCGGGUGUGUUAUAGCCAGCUGUCGCAUACAUCGGAUGAGACUGAGGAAUGCAGCUCGCCUUUAUGGCCGGGGUUCGCCCACGUUCGAGCUUAGGAUGUUGACAUAAUGGCUUUAAACGACCGCUG